UAUUAUGUCGCUUUCAAAAAAAACUGUGAACGAGGUCAACUCAUGACUUAAGUGACCGUUCAAAUAGUUUUUUCAGUUCCCAGUUGUUUUGAACCCACAGAAGUCGAAGAUUUCCGAGUUCCCAGUUUCCAGUAGUUUUUAACGCGGCAUUUUAAAAAACAAGUUUAGACAUGGCAUAAAAACAGGAGCUCAAGGAUCGAGCAGGGCUAGAGGCGAGACUUUCAAUUUCAGUUUUCAGCAGCGGUUAAUCAAGAUGCCAGUCAUUUGUAGCAGCUGUGCUGAGAAGAGUGCAGUGCUGAAACGUCCAAAGCCGGCCCAUUCCUUGUCCAAAGAGUCCCUCUUCUGGGCCUUUGAGGAGGAGGUGCAUCAGACAAUAAUAUCAGCACAGCUCUUCAAAGAUGGAGAGACUGUGGGCAUUGGUGCCUCUGGCGGGAAGGAUUCCACUGUGCUGGCCACCUCAGUAAACAAUGGACCUGAUCGGACAGCUCAGAGCUUCUGCUCUUUUCUGUCCAUAAAAAACAAAUGGAUUGGUGGAAGAGGCACACCUCAUGAAGGUCCUAAAUGAGCGCUAUAACUAUAGCCUGAAACUAAUGCUGCUCUCAGUGGACGAGGGCAUGACAGGUAACCGUGAUGACUCCUUGGAGACUGAAGAGAACCAGCAGUAGUAUGAACUACCUCUGAAGAUUGUGUCCUAUGAGGAGCUGUAUGGCUGGACCAUGGAUGCCAUAGUGAAGCAGAUCGGACUGAAGAACAAUUGCUCUUUCUGUGGAGUGUUCCCGAAGACAGGCUCUGGACAGGGGAGCCAUGAUGCUGAAGGUUGAUAAGAUAUAUGCAGGUAAUAUAUAAGACAAAUGUAUUUGUUAUUGAGCAGGCUUAUUUUAUCUAUCUUAUUUCAGAUGUGUAGCCUAGUUUAAACGGUUCUUAAACAGUCCUGUGGCUACAUCUACAGCCAGGCGCUGUGUAAGUCCUGUGUUCUGCUGGAGGGCCUGAACCGUGACCUGCCUAGACUAGGAAUCGGCAAGCACCACCGCCUCCACAGGAAGAUCCUCUCACAGCAGCCUCUGAUCCAGGCACAAGAGAGGAAACUCAAGGCUGUGGACUUCUGAGAGGCGUAUAGGCAGAACAUCUCAGGAUCACCUCCACUGUCUGUGAAGUUACACCUUGAAAUGAGUAACCGAAGAUGCCUCAAAACCAGAUGUGGAGUUGUUUUUAAGUUUUAGCUUGGAAUUGAAGUAGAGAUGUUACGUUGCCUCUAACAAAAGAGUAGCCAGCAUUUCCACUUUUCAGACACUGAACAAUGGGGAAGUGGUAAUGAUUAAAAAGGUCCUCCUUGCAGUUGCUGGAAUCUAAAUUCAAUUCACAUUUGGCUAUAUGGUCAGUUAAUUAUGAAACCUCUGACAGCUGAUGAUUGAAAUACAAGUAUUUUGUGUGGUAUCUGUAUAAUAAAGCUAUUCUACAUUUGCAUGGCCUCUUCUGAUUUUAGUAUGAACAAUUCCUCAAGAGAAUUCUUACAGGUACUUACACAUUAGGAUUACUGAUAGGUAAAGAAUUGUCUGUUAAUUGAAUGAUUAGAAUAUUCUGCCCUGAAACAUAUAAUUGUAUGGAAUUGAUUAGCAUGUAUAAAAUCAUAAUCAAGAAAUGUGUUGUCCUAGUCAGAAUUAGGGUAAAACAAUAUGUCUUUAUGGUAUUUUAAACACAGACUGUCUGAGCUUGGUGCCGACCUGACUAGAGAUUUGGGAGAGAACGGGUAGGACAAGGUCACUAUCUCUGUCGGCUGGGUAGUGAGACAGACAGUGUGCGUCUUUGUGUGUAUGUGUGGGCUUGAGAAGUCAGUAUUAAAUGAAUUGUUUUGUAUUCUUGACUUUAGAACGUUCCCGUGAAUAAACAUUUUUUACUAUUUA